GUGGAUAGUUUCUUAGCCUAACUUUUUUAGUAAACAAAGUAAAUCCGUUUUGUCUGAUUAAACAGUUUUGAAUAUGUUAGAAGAGUUUGAGGAUAUUUUGCACCAUGUGGAAGAAGAAAAUCGUCUUCGAGUUCCAAAAAGAUAUAUACGGGAUGCAGGAAAUCCAAUAGAAAUAUAGUAAGUGGAGACUUGCAUGGUGUUAGCCAACCUACAA